UCACAACUCACAUCUCACCCGUCUCUCUCUCUUUCUCUGGCGAUUCCAGAUCCAGAUCUGGAUCUAGGGUUUCUCUGCUAUCUCUCUCGCGAUCCAAGUUAUUCUUUUUGGUUGUUAUUUGAUGAAUUUAUGAUGAAGGUGUGUUUAGGAGAGCAAAUUCUUGAAGUUUUUAGGGCAAUGGCAAUUUAAGCCGAUUGGAUCAUGUGGUACCGAUGCUGAUAUGCAUUGUACCGUCUCUCAUUCAAUCUGCAAACUCGAGGUCAACUGGGCUGGGAAUUUGGUUGGAUCAAGUACCGGAGCAGAAGUAAUCAGUGGCGUGUCCUCUUCCAGACCAGUUAAAUUGGCAGAUCUUCAAAGAAUUCUAAGCAAUAUUGGACCCUCAGGGGAGGCAGCAGAUCCCGAUGGAGGUUUAGGAUUGGGUGAUAUCCUGAAGCCUGAACUUCUAUUGCCAUUGAUGGAGACAUUGUCACUCGAGAACGUAGCAUCUCAUUUACCUGAGGUUACUGCAGGGUGAAUGGACACGAGUGUCCAAUUAAUGGAGUUGCUGCAAAGUCCUCCUUUUCGUCAACAAGUUGACUCUUUUACCUAUGUCUGAAGACUGGUCAAAUAGAUCUGACUCAAUUUGGAGUUGACCCAAGUAAAUGUAAGCACUACAAUUUACAUUCUGUUGUUCAUAAUUAUAAAAAAAACAUGGUUUCCGUAAUAUCUUGUAUAACAAACGAUUUAGUUGUUUUAUGUAAUGAAUAAUAAACUUCAACGAUUUCUCUUUUAGUGGUUUUUUGCAUCUAUUUUACCUUUUUAGGUGUUGAGGUAUUUUUUUUUUUGGUUUUACUGCUAACUGUGUUAUAAAAUAUGAAUGGUUUAUGUUUACAAACAAAUACAUGGGCCUAUAUUUUCUUGAGGCUCUUAAAGAUUCUGUUGCAAAAACAUCGGAUACUGAUGAUCCAAUGCAAGAUGCUGGUGAUGCAAGAUCUCAGACUUGUAAUCAAACUGAUGAAAUGGAUGAAGGUCAAUAACAAAAUUUGAUUCAGCAGUUUGUUUUGUUCUCAGUGAGAGACAUAACAUUACAGAUUUGUGGAUACUGCAAGUGUUCCUUUAUUACUUUUACAGCUAAAGAUGGGAUGGUGGAUGGCAACGUGCUGCGAUGGCUGCAAUGGUGGAUGGCAGCGGUGCUCCGAGCAGCCUCAUAGUCGAUCCAUGGCCAAUAAUUACAAGAGGAUAAUCGGUAUGUCAAAGUUUCCAUUAACCAACACAAGCAACUUUCUUCUGGAAUUCUCAUCCAUCACGAAUAACUGGUGAUUCCAUUAAAAAACAUCCUACUAAGCUUAAACCCAAGCACAACAACAUUAUAUCCAAAAUAAAAACACGACCAAAGCUCAAGUCAGUUGACUUUUCAAAGUUGACCAGUCCAUUGAUUUUGUGAAAAAAAAAUUUGGUCUUUGCUGAAUGAUUUAAAGGUCGAACUCACACCUCUCCGUCUCGCUAAAGUCGCCGGUAAUGCUCCCAGCAAGUUCUAUAAAAUUGUACUCCAUCCUUCCCUCUCGGCACAUACAUUUGGUAACUGGAUUGUUUGGCGUGGAUUUGGUUAUCAACAUCUGAGAUCUGUAGUCCCUUGACGGCGUGUACCGUAUGGAAGGUUCAAAAAUAUAUUUGGUCACAACUCACAAUAAAGCUGGAAUUCAAAGGGGUAGUGGCGGUCUGUUCGCUGAAGUGGAAGAGAUUUAUCACUACAGCCAAGAGGGUAGACCUGACUGAUGUGGGCAUUGUUGGCGGUCUGUUCGCUGAAAUGGAAGAGAAGGACAAGGGGCUUCCAAAUUCUUUGUAUAUGGGUCGAGCCAAGGGACUUCCAAAUUCUUUGUUUACGUCAAGCAGAAUGACAGUGCGAGAUGCUCUGAACUCUGCUCUUAAUGAGGAAAUGGCUGCUGAUCCCAAUGUUUUUGUUAUGGACGAAGAGGUAGGAGAAUACCAAGGUGCAUACAAGUGGCAAAACAGGCUGGUGAAGUCUGGAAGCUUUACUCAUUCAUAUCCGUUUUGCUGGAGAUCUGAUACUCCUCUCAUCUACAGAUCCCUUCCCAGCUGUUGGUUGGUUGCUUCACAGUUUUAAUAAUGGGUCAGUUAUCAAGGCGCUCGUAUAAAUUCUGCAUAAAGAUUAGUUAAACUGAAGCGACAUUGCCAACUCACACUGUUUAUUGGGCUAUGGCGGAUGUUGUUUCGGUAACGGGCCUGCUCAUGAUGCUAUUCAAGAAUAGUGUUUUAAUUAAGCGAGGAAGAUGACUCUAUGGAAACAAUACCCAAAAUUCUCAAGUACAAUUGUGAAAUUAUUCAAAUUAAAAAGAGGCAAAUGGGAGUCUUGAUGAGUCAUUUGCUGUAAAUGUUGAAGAAAGCAGCAAGUUUAAUGCUUUUAAGGUACUAAAAAUGGGCAACAAACUUAAGUAUUAUUUGUGUUUUUAAUAGACAACUUGGGAUUCUGGGGAACUGUUUUGUAUGUAGAUGCAAAAGCCUAUUAUUAUGAGAUGUAAUAUUCAUUCACAGUUUGUUGGAUUUUCUUUGUAUAUGAUGAAUUUGACUUGAUUUGGUUGGAUAUUGUGGAUAAAGAUUUGUUCCGAGCAUA